GAAAUGCGAUAAGUAAUGUGAAUUGCAGAAUUCCGUGAAUCAUCGAAUCUUUGAACGCACAUUGCGCCCUCUGGUAUUCCGGGGGCAUGCCUGUCCGAGCGUCAUUGCGAACCCCUCAAGCACGGCUUGUGUGAUGGGCCCUCCCGCGUCUUGGUCGUCAAGACGGGCCCGAAAAGCAGUGGCGGCUUCGCGGUUAUCCGAUCAGCCAGAGCGGAUGGGGACUUUCUCUCUGUCACACGCCCGCGGCGCGGACCGACGCCUGUCGACCUUUAUUCAUCUUUUUCUCGGUUGACCUCGGAUCAGGUAGGGAUACCCGCUGAACUUAAGC
rnacentral:misc_RNA from 1 species